rnacentral:rRNA from 1 species
UAUCUCUGUAGAGUCUGCAUAUCAAUAAGCGGAGGAAAAGAAACUAACAAGGAUUCCCUUAGUAACGGCGAGUGAAGCGGGAAGAGCUCAAAUUUGAAAUCUUCAAGGUUUUACCUUGACGAAUUGUAGUUUAAAGAAGUGUUUUCUGUUGAAGUUUUGGUAAAAGUUCUUUGGAAUAGGACAUCAUAGAGGGUGAGAAUCCCGUAUUUGACCAUUAUUUUCAGCUGUGUGAUACACUUUCGAAGAGUCGGAUUGUUUGGGAAUGCAGUCCAAAAUGGGUGGUAAAUUUCAUCUAAAGCUAAAUAUUGGCGAGAGACCGAUAGCGAACAAGUACCGUGAGGGAAAGAUGAAAAGAACUUUGAAAAGAGAGUUAAACAGUACGUGAAAUUGUCAAAAGGGAAGCGUUUGACACCAGUGUUGUUUUCUCGAAAAUCAAUUAAAAAAGGCUGGAUUUUGUGUUGUAUUGACCUUAAUCAGCUUUCUGCACUCUUUUCCUUGUCUUUUUUUAAUGCACUUUUCGUUUAACAAGUCAACAUCAGUUUCUUUUGUUGUAAAAGGGUCAUUGGAAGGUGGCUUUCUUUUCGGAGAAAGUGUUUAUAGCCUUUGGCCUCUGCAAUCGGAGAGAUUGAGGUCUGCAGCGUAGAUCCUUCGGGGUUAGAUACACUUUGUGCUAAGUUAUAACUUUUCAUAGACAACUUGUUGACUAUGUUUAGUCAUGUCGCUUACUCGCUUAUGCUAUUUUACCUACGCUUAGGAUGUUGAUAGUCACAGCGUGUAC